UAGCCAGGGGUGCUGCCUUCGGGCGGCUGAGAUGAUACCCUCUGACCUGAUCCGGAUAAUGCCGGCGUAGGAAGGAUAAUA
rnacentral:ncRNA from 1 species